rnacentral:tRNA from 1 species
AGGGUUGUAGUUAAGUAUAACAUUUGGUUUGCAUCCAAAAAGUACCGCAAGGUCUGCCUUA